CGCGAAGUAAAGUAAUUGGUUAACUUCUUAGGUUCAUGCCCUAAUAAUAUAGGUUCAAAUCCUAUCUUCGCAUCC
rnacentral:tRNA from 1 species